CAGCUCACGGCAAUGCCGGAUCCUUAACCCACUGAGCAAGGCCAGGGGUCGAACCCGCAACCUCAUGGUUCCUAGUCGGAUUCGUUAACCACUGAGCCACGACGGGAACUCCUGAGCAUCUUUUUUUAGCUGUGUGUUGGACCUUUGCAUAUCUCCUCUAGAGAAAUGUCUCUAAGUUCGUUGUCCAUUUUAGAAUUGGAUUAGUUGUCCUCUAUUGUUGGCUUGUAAUAUUUGGGGUGCUAGAACCUCCUCAAAUACAUGAUUCGCAAAUAUUUUCUCCCCAUUCUUUCAGUUACCUUUUUACUCUCUGGAUACUAUCCUUUGAGGAAUUGCAGUUUUCCAUUUUACUGAAGUCCAGUUGAUCACUUUUUUUCUUUAGUUAUUUGUGGUGUCGGUGUCACAUCUGAGACUCGCAGCAAGUCAUGGGGUUACCGUCAAGGGUGAGGAAUUGUGUUCCACCUGCAGAUGGGGGAGCCCUGCAGAUUUGCAUGGCACAGAGCGUGGAAAAGGGUGACGCAAAGAGUAGAGAACAUGGAUCCAACUCCAUCACACCAUGAUUGGCUUAGAUUGACUUGGAUUCAUCCCGCAAGGGCUUUGCUACCCACACAGAAUCACAGUUCUGUCAGCAAGGAAGAGGGAAGGUCAGGUUUGGAGCAGGCAGGGAGCAGCUUCCCGCACAAGUCUAUGGGGGCAUCUCACCCAUAGAAAUCUAAGGUCAGAGUUGGCCAGAGCGGUGUGGAAUUGACCGAGGAUGAGGUCGGUGCUUCUCCCAGAGAGAUCGAGGGUGCUCAGGGAAGGGGAGACUCGGGAAGGUCAAGUCAUCCCCCAGGAGCCCUGACAGUUGCCGUGAUGGUCCACAGCUCUGUACUCUGCUUACCCUGGAUGUUUGAGGUUUAGCAGUAACGGAUCCCAAACCAUGAAAGAUGAGCGGCUGUGUGGAGAAAGGAGGAAAGGCAAAGAUAACCCAACUUCUGAUGAUAAACAGGAUGCUGGAGCAGGGAUCUCUUUAUUCUGUGGACAUGUAGCUGUUUCCAGUAAAACCUGUAAGAUGCAGAAUCUCCUUCCUGCUUCUAGUUCACAAGCAUGACUCCUUCUACUCCUCCAAGUUGGUAUGGUGCAGCACAGACUGUUUGGCUGCUUUCAGCUCAAGAAUACAAAUUGAAUAUUGACGUUCCUCCUUUUUUUUAUCCAAUUUUGCCUUGCAGGGGCCCAGGUAUGACUUCAUUUUAAAAAUGAAAUUAUGCAGGUCGUUCGCCCGUAGUGAUGAAACGAUUCUGGUUAUUAGCACGAAACUCAGCCACGGUCCACGCGAGGUAACCUUGGUUGUUUAAAUACUGUGCAUCAUGACCACAUAGAGCUCAGAAAAACUAUUUUUUCAGACUCUUCAGCCAUCACGGAAAGGACCUGUGAUUUCAUUCGUUAGUGUUAACGAGUGCCAUUCUUCGUUUCAGUGGGGUCAGCCUUGCCUGAAGAGUUCCUUAAGAGGGCCUGAGGUCCAGAACGGUGAGGUUUUGGAUGUGGAAGAGGGUCCAGAGCAAGCUAUGAAGUUGAGUGACGUUUGUAAUGACACAGGCUUGUGAGCAGCAAUGACCCGAAUUCGAAUCCCCCAUCUGUGACCCCGUCGGCAAAAUAAUUAAAAACUCCGAAUAUCAUUUUCCCAUGCCCCGCAUGGGUAAAUCCCCUCUCCCUCUUAGGGUGGCUGGGAGAUGUAGUGAUGUGAGAUCUUCAUGACGUCUGCACAGGGCCUGACCCAGAGCGAACCCUCAGUAACUUACUUACAGCUGCUGCCGUCACUGCUGCCGUCGUGGUCAUUGUUGUUGCGCUCGCUGUUCGUAUUAUAUUAGCCCCUGUAUCGCGGUGGCGCUCUGGCCAGGGGAAAUGCCCACCCCAGUCUGCAGGCUGUGAGCCCAGGCAGACCCGCCUAUUUUGGAGGCAGCAGGAACGGCACGUAGAACUGCUAUCUGUGGCUGCUGGUACCUAUCUGCCCUCGGCUGGGUCGCGCCAAAGAAAUGACUUUCCUUUUGUAUGUUAGCUCUGUGCCUGGCAGAUGGCAAAUAUCUGUGGUUGACCGUUGAAUCUCGCCAUCGUGAUACCAGUAUUUUGGGGAGUCUGUAAAUAGUGGGAGUUGGCGUCCUCAGGCUGACCCUUGAGCCAGCAGUUUCUGUAGUCGACUCCCUUCACCUGCUGCUGGUUGGGGAGAUCCUUCUUUGAACGAUAGGGACGGCGAAGGUGGCGGUGGUAUUGAUAAUGGUAACGAUGGUGAUAUAGCCCGAAUCUACUGCGUGCUCGCAAGACGCUGGAUGGUGUGCUAAGUGCUUUACCGCCAUUCUGUCAUUUACCGUUCCCUGGUACGCUCUCGCGACAUACAAGGAUACUGAGGCGCAAACACCUGAGAUAACCUAGCUCUGAUCUCAAGCAGAGGUCUUAAGUCCAGCAGCGUGACCCCCAAAAGCUGGCUCUUCAUGGCUCCGCCCUUCUGUCUGCCCAGGUGUUUUGUGGUGGAGUCGGAGGGGAAAGGAAGCCUUUGGAUUUUGAGGGUCCCCCCUGGACAAUGAGUUUUCUUCAAAAUGGUCUUGAUGGCGUGAUUGCUUAGAAGAUCUUCUCCUUCAAACUGGGGACUUAGGGCCACUGCUGGGGCUUUCUGAUUCUAAAAAAGAAUCGAAAAUUUAAUUUCUCACACCGAUUUCUAGGAAAAUACUGUCUGGGCACCAAGCCUCACUACUAAUUUGACAUUAAUUGCCAAACGUGGUGCUUGAAUUUUCAUUCUUUUAUUCAUUGAGUACACACCCUGCAUUGGACUAGGCUCUGGAAAUUUAAUCUAGUGGAUUGGUCCCUUAUGUUUCUCAACCUCCAUUUUCUCAUCAGUAAUACAAGGACUGUAAUGACAUCUACCUAAUAUACUUAAGGGUGGAGUGAAACAGGGUAGGCAAGUGUCUAGCAGAGUGGCCGGUCUGUAGUCAGCGCCCAAUAAAUGCUGACGAGUCUUAGCAUCAACAGCAGCAUCAAAUGGAUGCAAGAAUGUGACGUUCAAGUUAAGUGAGAAAAGUGAAAAGUUGACUGAUGAAAAAGAAAAGCAGAUGGUAUAUAAGACAAGACAAAGAAGCUUUGUGAAUGCUUAAACAAGGCUCCAAGACCCCCCAGGACACCAUCUGUCUGUGUUUGCUCAAAGAGGGUACAGUGGAUAUUUUCAGCUGAUGAUGAGAGUGGCUCUUAAUACCUGUCUAACGAUCAAGUGAGAAACACUCCUUGCCUUUCCUCCAGGACCUUCUUCUUGAAUUGCGAUUGGCUAACUGCGGUAACAUACAGUUCCCAGGAGUGGGCUUGAUCUCUUGUUCAUGUAACAGUUACUGCAGACAUUCAGCAGCUGGCCUUCCACGCCUUGACUGGGGACCCAGGCUGACAUUUCAGGCACGGCCAUCCCCUAGAGCCUCCAAAUCCUCUGCUGGAUCCUCAAAAAUCCAGAUGUCAAGCAAAGGAAGAAGAGGAACAAGGUUCCCUUGGCGGGGGGGGGGGAGAGUUGAUGGGCCCAGCCUAGAAGGCGUGAGAUCACUUCCGCCUACUUUCUAUUGGUCAGAACCAAGUUAUGUGGUCAUACCCAACUGCAGAGGACCCUGGGAAAUGUAGUCCCGGAUGCUUUCAGGAAGCACGAGAAAUGUUUUCUCUGACAGAUUGCCUUCUCUGCCUUGCUCUCUGCUGUUGAUUGCUUACUCGAUUGCUUUUAAAUUGCACAGCCUUAUAUACACGACACCAGUUUUGUUUUGCCUUUUGGAAAGAACCAAUUAUUGUCCAUAGUCAUCAAAAAUAUAUCUGUUCAUUGGUAUCAUUGCAGUGUAUUAGCAAGAGCCCUGCCUGGGCCAGGAGCCAGACCUGUGCUUCAGUUCCCUGCACAGCCAUCAGCCAUUCCUUGCUGGGCGAGCUUGGGCUGCUCAGUAAAGAUCUGUCUUAAAUAGAAUUUGGGAAAGGGUACCUGCCCUGCCUACAGUGUUGGGCAAGGACGAUGUGCUCUAAUCUGCAAAAGUACCUUGUAACCAAGGGUACCUGCUAAAGGGAAGAGACGGUCUCAGGAUAGCUGCCUCCCCUACCUGAACAGGAAGCCACCAUUAGAAGGGUAUAUUGUGUAACCAUGCAUUACUCGAGGUGUGCGUUUCAGGUUUUGAGUGUCAGUGUGGUAAAUGAAUAAAUGAAAGUCAGACAAACUUAAGUUCAUUUCCUCCAACCCUUAAAGCAGCUGCAUCCCGGGCACCCUCGCUGGAGAGAUGUUCUUCCAGCAGAGGGUUCUGAGCAGCCCCCCUCUGCCACGGCUGAGUCUGCUGCUCUUCCCAUCUGGAACCACCUGGGUCAGGUCAACAUUCCGCAGCUUCUCUUUGCUUACCUGAAAAAUGGGAACAUCUGUCCAGCUUCAUGAGACUGGGAUGAGGAACAAAUGAUGUCACAGAAAAGUCCCAGCUCCCUUCUUCACCCCCCCGCCCCCGGCAGCCAAAGUCACUGAAGCUUAAUUCAUCAGGCCGAAACUUCUCUUGUUUCUGUGGAAACUGAGGUUCGUAAAGAUGGUGACUCGCCUAGGUUCUGUAAGGAGAGUUGGCUGGAGUCUGCCCUGAAACCCACACACUGCGAUACCAAGGCUGGUGCUCCCUUAAACCCAGCGGGACCCUCUUGCGGAAGUUGAGGCACUCAACUCAAGGACAUCAUUGCUGUUUUUUUUUUUUUUUUUUUUUUUCCAGUGCUGCACCUGCAGCGCAUGGACGUUCCCAGGCUACAUCACAACCACAGCAACGCCAGAUCCAAGCUGCGUCUGUGAUCUACACCACAGCUCAUGGCAACACCAGAUCCUUAAUCCACUGAGCGGGGCCAGGGAUCGAACCUGCAUCCUCAUGGAUACUAGUCAGUUUCAUUACUGCUGAGCCCCAGUGGGAACUCCAUCAUUGCUGUUUUUAAUCCAAACUCACUGUUCCUCCAUAUGCUUGUGGAAACUGGGUCAAAAAGAGUGAGGGUCAGGUUCAGAUUGACAGUGCUUUUCAAAGGGGAAAAGAAAAAUCUUGCCUUUCCCUGGCUAGAGGUCAGAGGUCAAAAAAGCUAAUAAUGGAAUGCGGG
rnacentral:lncRNA from 1 species